UACGGAGGGUGCAAGCGUUAUCCGGAAUGAUUGGGCGUAAAGCGUCCGCAGGUGGCAUUGAAAGUCUGCUGUUAAAGAGUCUGGCUCAACCAGAUAAAGGCAGUGGAAACUACAAAGCUAGAGUGCGUUCGGGGUAGAGGGAAUUCCUGGUGUAGCGGUGAAAUGCGUAGAUAUCGGGAGGAACACCAGUGGCGAAGGCGAUCACCUGGGGAUGUUCUGACGCUGAGGAGCGAAAGCUAGGGGAGCAAACGGG
rnacentral:rRNA from 1 species